rnacentral:rRNA from 1 species
GGUAUGGGAUGAGCUUGCGUCCGAUUAGCUAGUUGGCGGGGCAACGGCCCACCAAGGCGACGAUCGGUAGCCGGCCUGAGAGGGUGAUCGGCCACAUUGGGACUGAGAUACGGCCCAGACUCCUACGGGAGGCAGCAGUAGGGAAUAUUGCACAAUGGGGGAAACCCUGAUGCAGCAACGCCACGUGUGGGAAGAAGCAUUUCGGUGUGUAAACCACUGUCGUGAGGGAAUAAGGCUAUUUUUCGGAGUAGUUGAAUGUACCUCGAGAGGAAGCACCGACAAACUUCGUGCCAGCAGCCGCGGUAAUACGAGGGGUGCAAGCGUUGUUCGGAAUCACUGGGCGUAAAGGGAGCGCAGGCGGAAGCUCAAGCGGAUUGUACAAUACCGGGGCCCAACCCCGGACCUGCAGUCCGAACUGGGUUUCUUGGAUAGUUCAGGGGCAGGC